AGUCCCGCCACAGAUUCAUCUGGGAUCUUCAAACAGACAAGCCCUUAGAGACGAGGGAUCAAGGCAGCCGAUUAGAGCCAAUUGCUUGCUUUGGGGACGGCCAGUCCUUCCAGGCCUGGCGACAGUGGAGGGAGGGGAAAGACGAACCGAGUGCCGCUGCGGGAAGACACUGAAGCAAGAGCGACACCCCUUUCCGCCCCCCACCUUGCAGCGCAGGCUUUGAAAGCUGCUCCCCCACCUGAAUGGAAACUCGGAACCGCCGGGCGGCGCGUUCCUUCUCGCCCAGCCUUGCAAUCCAUGCCGAGAGGAAGGCAGUGCGAGCCCGCGCCAGCGCCCAGCUCCCGGGACAGGGUCGGCAAUGCUGCUGAGCAGAACUUGAUCGCGCUCCUUCCUCGCUGCUAGUGGAAGCGAUGCUGCACGGCACAGCUAGCGCUUCCCCGGCUCUCCUUCAAGCUGAAGGUUACCGACCCGCGCAGCCAGCCCCAGCACUGUGAGCUGCGCGCCUCAGGUCCGGGCUCCGGCUGCUUGGCGGCGGCGCCCAGGGCAACAACCGGGCCGCCCGCGCCGGGGCGCACUGCACCAGCGGCUUCGGCUUGGUGGAUGUGUAUGCAUGAGUUCUGCACCGAAUGGGCGCAAAAAGCGCCCCAGCCGGUCCACCCGCUCCUCGAUCUUCCAGAUCAGCAAGCCCCCGCUGCAGAGCGGAGAUUGGGAGCGCAGGGGCAGCGGCUCCGAGAGCGCCCACAAAACCCAACGAGCCCUGGACGACUGCAAGAUGCUUGUCCAAGAGUUCAACACACAAGUGGCCCUGUACCGAGAGCUGGUCAUUUCUAUUGGGGAUGUCUCGGUCAGCUGCCCCUCACUCCGGGCGGAAAUGCACAAGACAAGAACCAAAGGCUGUGAAAUGGCCCGUCAGGCACACCAAAAAUUGGCUGCCAUCUCAGGCCCGGAAGAUGGUGAGAUCCAUCCAGAAAUCUGUCGGCUUUACAUCCAGCUGCAGUGCUGCUUAGAAAUGUAUACCACAGAGAUGCUAAAAUCCAUAUGUCUGCUGGGGUCUCUUCAGUUUCAUCGAAAAGGAAAGGAACCUGGCGGGGGAACCAAGAGUUUGGAUUGCAAAAUUGAGGAGAGUGCUGAAACACCUGCCCUAGAAGACUCCUCAUCAUCCCCCGUAGAUAGUCAGCAACAUUCCUGGCAGGUUUCCACAGACAUUGAGAACACUGAAAGAGACAUGAGAGAAAUGAAAAACCUUUUAAGCAAACUCAGGGAAACUAUGCCUUUACCAUUGAAAAAUCAAGUCAAAACUCGGCUCCACAAUGGUUUACUUUAAAUCAACUUUCAGUGGAGAAGAAAGGAAGGUGGCCAAGGGCAGGAAUUUUAAUGAUGACAGCAGCCUUCUGAAUCUAACUCCCUACCCCCUGGUGAGAAGACGGAAGAGAAGGUUCUUUGGGCUGUGUUGUCUCAUCUCAAGCUAGGUGGCUCCUCCUGGAAACCCACUGAGAACAUCUGAAAAAAAAUCACAAAACCCGAGGACCUCCAGACAGCUGAACCACACAGUUAUUGGUUUUUGACUAUGUUUUCUAUGCUUCCUUAUUACUUUUAUCUGCCUCCCCCUGCCCUUUUAAAUGAUUUUACACUUGAAAGCAGCUGCCGUCAAGAAAAAAAAGAACAGAUUCAAAAACCAGGCUGUUUUUAAAAGGGAAUUUUAAAGCUGACAUUGUGCAUGUCUGCUCCAAACCACGCCAUGACAGAUGCAAGAAUUAUGAUUUUUAAAUUAUUUAAAGGUUUUUUAAAUGUAUUAUACAGAGGAAAAAUAUUUCACAUAUAAUAGUAUAUCUAUAGCUCUUGCUGAUCUCAUGUUAAAAUUUAUCGUAUAUGAAAGAAGUCUUUAAACAUAGAAAUCUAUUUAAAACUGAAAAACUGUGUUCAAAAAUCCAAUCUAUCAAUAUCAUUAGAAAUAAUAUUAUAAGCAAACAUAUACCACCUCACCUAUUGCUUUCUCUGCACUCAUUUACAUUUAGUCUUCCAUUCUGUCAGAAUCUAAGAGCUUCAACAUAAAAGUAUCUUAAUUUAUAAAGCAACAAAAACCACAUAUGAAAAGUACUAAAAUUUUGUAAAUACACAAUAAUCCUAAUACCUUCGUACAAAUGCAUAUGGGCAACUAAUUUCUUUUUGAUCCAAUGAUGUCUUUUUCAGCUUCUUGGAGAAUGAAGUAAUCCAGUUAGGAAAUGGUGUAGUAACAUAUACAAUUGCCCUCAAAUGUAAAAUCAAAUAUUAUUACAUUUUGUUCUAAUUGAAAUCUGAAGCAUGGUGUCUGCACAUCAGCAUAGUGUUAAAUCUUAUAGGGCAUGCUGGAAUUAGCUCAGAUUAUAAAAAUAUUUAACAUUUUACAUUGUUAAUAAAGUUUUUUAGUUAAGCUAAGCUUGUCUCAUUUUAGAUGACUAUGCAGAUAAGAUUUUUCCAACGUGUACUUGGUGUCUUGUCUUAUGCUUAGACUCUUGAAAGCAGGACACAUUAAGCAAUACUAUAUUUUAGAAAGGAGGAAGCCACAUGCUUUGUUUUUCUGCUCACAGCUUUGUUGUGAUCUUCCUUCACUAAACUUGUAACAUGGUACAAAUUUUGUUAUACCGUCUCCUGUUCUUCCUUUGGCCCAUUUCCCAGACAGAAUUUCCCAUGGGUUGAGAGAUCAAGUCUUUGCACUUUUUUUCUUGUUUUCCAUAGUCUGAAAAACCUUCAAGUCAGACAGGAGGCACCAGUGUCCAGUACAAUAGAAGGAUGAGCUAGAUGCCGAUAAGUGGUUUAUCCAAGACACAUCUUUAGUCCCAACCCUGUUCUUUACCAAUACUUAUGUGCACAGGCAUUUAUAUGUAUACCAAUAUUUUUACCUAAAAACUAAAUAUAUUAAGGCCUUUUGCUUUAGUGAAGAUGAACUACUGUAAUAAUUAUUGUAUUAGGUUGAAUUAUAUGAAAUUUCCUAUAUGUGACUGUUUUGACCUACAAAAUGGCAAUUUCUUAUAGUUCACCCUAAUAUCCAAUGUGGAAAUUAUACUUGGAAUUGUCUUCUAGCUCUUUUGAUUGAAAGUGAAAGAAUUAAAGGGUUGGAAGAGAACGUUAUACAGGUCUCUAUUUAGAUCAUACCAGCUGGUUUUUGGCCUUAUUCUUUGAAUCUAGAGUUGUGUUCCAAGGAACCAGUAAUUAAUGCAUGGUUAUAGGUAUACCUGGCUUCAAAAAAAAGAAGUAGCCGUGGAAAGCUAUAUGAGAAAAUCACAAUUUUCUGAAUCAAAUAUUUGUAAAACAAUUUGGCUAUUUAAAGACUCUUAGGGUAAAUACUCCCUGGAAAAGCAAGCAAUCCAGACUUAUCUGGUCUGCAAACCUUGAUUUCAGCUUAAUAUCCUUUCCUGAAUCUAAUUCAUUUUCACCCACUAAGGUCAUUUCAUUUAAGAUCCAUUGUUUUUGAAAUUUUGAAGUAGCCCAGUUUGGCAGCUCUCAGCACCUGCCUCUGCCCUCUCCUAUACUUCAACUAUAUUGAACUCUAGCUUCAAUCUAGUUCCUACUAAUCCAUGCAAAAGUUAUUAACUGAUAAGCCCAAUCUUGUUCAGCACGUUCUUCUAAAUGCCUGACCUAAAUAACUUCUGCUUGGUUAACUUGUGUUCAUUCUCACCUUAGCCUCAGUGUGAAAGUAACACUUACCUUCUGUGCAAUUGUCCUUUGUACAACUGAAGACUGUUAAUAAAUUCAGGUCUCACCUCCAUGUCUGAAAAGGCUAUAGUAGCUAUUCAUGGAGAUGGGAAUUUGUCUAAUUACCUAGCCAGAGUUUGCAUAUUUAAGGUAAUAUAUUCAGCUACCGUAUCUUUUAUUCAUAGUGCCUGUUUUCCAGCCUUUGAUCAGUUUUGUAGUUCCCGUGGAUAAACUCCAAGAUCUAAAGAUCCUCUUUCAGUAGCAUAUACUAAAAUUAAGUUUAGUGCUCAAAACCCUGGUAACCUACACUGGCCCAAGGUUACAGUAGGUAAUUCACCGUCUCACAUUAGACAGGCCAAUGCAUCCCUUAGGAGCUGCCCCACUCUCCUCUCACCUACCAAAGGAUUUUCUCAGGUGUGGUUCCAAGCGAUAAAGUUCUACUGUCUCGGCUUCCUGCUGGUAAUUCGCUUUCAGAUUAGCAAUAACACUGAGCUGAUCUCUAGGGUUAAGAAGAGAACAUUGAACUCAUUUUGUCGCAUGUACCCACAGGCUUGAAACAGAAAAUGAUGUAAACUUUUGUGGCAUACAUUCACCCAUUUUCCCACCAUAUCUUUACUAUCCUGUGUUGAUUUUUUUUUCAAAUUACAAAGACAAUACAUGUUCUUUGUGGGAAAUCUGAAAAAUACUACCAAAUAGAAAAUAAAAAUCACCUGAAUUCCACCACGACCACAUUGUUUAAAACCACAUUUCUGGGUUUUAAAUCAGUCAGUGGCUGGGCCCAAAGGCACUUUUGGGUAAGAUAAGUGAAGAAAUGCCCACAAGGCCAAGGUGUCACUUAAAAAAACAAACAAAAAAAACAAGCCA